AUUGAACGCUGGCGGCAGGCCUAACACAUGCAAGUCGAGCGAGAGGCGGACGGGUGAGUAAUGUAUGGGGACUGCCUGAUAGAGGGGGAUAACGACUGGAAACGGUGGCUAAUACCGCAUACGAUCGGAUAACCCAUAUGGGAUUAGCUAGUAGGUGGGGUAAAGGCUCACAUAGGCGACGAUCCUUAGCUGGUCUGAGAGGAUGAUCAGCCACACUGGGACUGAGACACGGCCCAGACUCCUACGGAGGCAGCAGUGGGGAAUAUUGGACAAUGGGCGAAAGCCUGACGCAGCCAUGCCGCGUGAAUGAAGAAGGCCUUAGGGUUGUAAAGUACUGUCGGCUGAGAGGCGUUACCCACAGAAAAAGCACCGGCUAACUACGUGCCAGCAGCCGCGGUAAUAC
rnacentral:rRNA from 1 species